AGAGUUUGAUCAUGGCUCAGAACGAACGCUGGCGGCAGGCCUAACACAUGCAAGUCGAGCGUGAAAGGGGCUUCGGCCCUGAGUAAAGCGGCGCACGGGUGAGUAACACGUGAAUAAUCUGCCCCUUCGACCGGGAUAACAGACCGAAAGGACUGCUAAUACCGGAUAAGCCCACAAGUCAACCGGGCGUGCGGGAAAAGUACGGGAUCCUUCGGGACCGUAUGCGGAAGGAUGAGUUCGCGUUCCAUUAGAUAGUUGGUGAGGUAACGGCCCACCAAGUCGACGAUGGAUAGCUGGUCUGAGAGGAUGAUCAGCUACACUGGAACUGAGACACGGUUCAGACUCCUACGGGAGGCAGCAGUGGGGAAUCUUGCGCAAUGGGGGAAACCCUGACGCAGCCGUGCCGCGUGAGUGAUGAAGGCCUUCGGGUUGUAAAGCUCUGUCUAAGGGGACGAAUGGCAUACGAAACAAGACGUCGUAUGCGUGACGGUACUCUUAAAGAAACCACCGGCUAACUCCGUGCCAGCAGCCGCGGCAAUACGGGGGGUGUAAGCGUUGUUCGGAAUUACUGGGCGUAAAGGGCGUGCAGGCGGUCGCUGCAAGUUGAAUGUGAAAUUCUCGAGCUUAACUUGGGACGUGCGUUCAAGACUGCGGGACUCGAAUACGGGAGAGGGUCGUGGAAUUYCUGGUGUAGAGGUGAAAUUCGUAGAGAUCAGGAGGAACACUCGUGGCGAAGGCGACGAYCUKGMMUCGAUAUUGACGCUGAGACGCGAAAGCGUGGGUAGCAAACAGGAUUAGAUACCCUGGUAGUUCCACGCYGUAAACGAUGGGUACUAUGCACUGCGGGUAUGACCCCUGCGGCGCAGCAGCAAACGUAUUAAGUACCCCGCCUGGGGAGUACGGUCGCAAGAUUAAAACUCAAAGGAAUUGACGGGGGCCCGCACAAGCGGUGGAGCAUGUGGUUUAAUUCGAUGAUACGCGAGGAACCUUACCCGGGCUCGAACGGCAAGUGAAGAGAGACAGAGAUGUUGACGUCCUUCGGGACACUUGUCGAGGUGCUGCAUGGUUGUCGUCAGCUCGUGCCGUGAGGUGUCGGCUCAAGUGCCAUAACGAGCGCAACCCCUGCUUCCAGUUACCAGCACGUAAAGGUGGGGACUCUGGAGGGACUGCCACCGCAAGGUGAGAGGAAGGGGAGGAUGACGUCAAAUCAGCACGGCCCUUACGUCCGGGGCGACACACGUGUUACAAUGGCGGCCACAGAGGGAAGCUACCCUGCGAGGGGAUGCGGAUCUCGAAAAGCCGUCUCAGUUCGGAUCGGAGUCUGCAACUCGACUCCGUGAAGCUGGAUUCGCUAGUAAUCGCGCAUCAGCCAUGGCGCGGUGAAUACGUUCCCGGGCCUUGUACACACCGCCCGUCAAGCCAUGGAAGCCGGGGGCGCCUGAAGUUCGUGACCGCGAGGAGCGACCUAGGGCGAACCUGGUAACUGGGGCUAAGUCGUAACAAGGUAACCGUA
rnacentral:rRNA from 1 species